UNUGGUCUGUCACUGACGCUGAGGCUCGAAAGCGUGGGUAGCGAACAGGAUUAGAUACCCUGGUAGUCCACGCCGUAAACGCUGAGUGCUAGGUGUUAGGUCCUUUCCGGGACUUAGUGCCGACGCUAACGCAUUAAGCACUCCGCCUGGGGAGUACGACCGCAAGGUUGAAACUCAAAGGAAUUGACGGGGGCCCGCACAAGCGGUGGAGCAUGUGGUUUAAUUCGAAGCAACGCGAAGAACCUUACCAGGUCUUGACAUCCCGAUGCCCGCUCUAGAGAUAGAGUUUUACUUUUUGUACAUCGGAGACAGGUGGUGCAUGGUUGUCGUCAGCUCGUGUCGUGAGAUGUUGGGUUNNNNNNNNNNNNCGAGCGCAACCCUUAUUGUUAGUUGCCAUCAUUAAGUUGGGCACUCUAGCGAGACUGCCGGUAAUAAACCGGAGGAAGGUGGGGAUGACGUCAAAUCAUCAUGCCCCUUAUGACCUGGGCUACACACGUGCUACAAUGGUUGGUACAACGAGUCGCAAGCCGGUGACGGCAAGCUAAUCUCUGAAAGCCAAUCUCAGUUCGGAUUGUAGGCUGCAACUCGCCUACAUGAUGUCGGAAUCGCUAGUAAUCGCGGAUCAGCACGCCGCGGUGAAUACGUUCCCGGGCCUNG
rnacentral:rRNA from 1 species